GUAGGGUGCAAGCGUUAAUCGGAAUUACUGGGCGUAAAGCGUGCGCAGGCGGUUUUGUAAGUCUGAUGUGAAAUCCCCGGGCUCAACCUGGGAAUUGCAUUGGAGACUGCAAGGCUAGAAUCUGGCAGAGGGGGGUAGAAUUCCACGUGUAGCAGUGAAAUGCGUAGAUAUGUGGAGGAACACCGAUGGCGAAGGCAGCCCCCUGGGUCAAGAUUGACGCUCAUGCACGAAAGCGUGGGGAGCAAACAGGAUUAGAUACCCUGGUAGUCCACGCCCCUAAACGAUGUCUACUAGUUGUCGGGUCUUAAUUGACUUGGUAACGCAGCUAACGCGUGAAGUAGACCGCCUGGGGAGUACGGUCGCAAGAUUA
rnacentral:rRNA from 1 species